UCGCCAUCUCAUAUUUCGUAAUGCGUAAUAUUAUCAUGGCGCGUGACGAUGUAAAAAUUCCGAUAGAUAAACAUCGACUAACAAAGCGGUGGACGUGACCAUGCAUUAAACGGAAACCGAGGAUCAUCGCCGUGAGGAUCGAAAUCACAAACGACCGCUUGUAAAUUACUUUUUUUUUUUUUUCAUCCGGUGAUAAUGAAGGAAAAAACGGUUGAGAAUAAAAACCCAGAUUUCCUCGGGGUGUUAACCGGUGCAUACACCUUACCACUGUCACUUUCUGACCGAACGACCGACUUUCCAUCCUCGUCGCUUCUUCUUCCUUCCGAUCGGCCAAUCUGUUUCGAUCUUUAACGCUGUUCUUCCGUAGGAGCCCUGUACAGGCCUGUCCGCAGCGUGAAAGCGCAGUGGAACGACCGCGAAUCGUGCAUGCGCGGCCACCCACUGCGCAUGCGUCACCCGUCCGUCUUAUAUCUAUAAGGGUAGGUACCCUCGGCGAGGCCAGUCAGUUCUUGCCCGUUUUCGCUCGGGUGACGAUCGAUCGGUGGCCAUCUCUCCGUGACCUUGUUUCCGCGCAUCCCUUCGCGACACGAUUUCCGGAGAGAUAAACGAUCGCCGUGAGAGAAAACCGGCUCUGUACGGGGUUAAAUAGAACGGACGGUUCGUGAUUGCUUCUUUUUUUCUUUUUUGUGAAGUGCAGUUUACCCGUUGUGUUUCGCGCCAAUCCAUUGUUAAAGGGUAAAAAGUGUCACUACGGAGAAGCGGAUUCUGGCUUUUUCUUUUCUUCUCUUGGUUUUGAUGAGGAUGAACGAUUCAGCGAUCUCCGUUGGAAUUUUAUAUCGCAUAUACGGCUUCUUAGACAAACGGCGUUUUUCUAUCUGAAUCUGGCGAACCAGCUCAGGUGGACAUCACUUACGGUCUCUUGGGGGUUUCGCUAUCUAUCAAAACGUACCCCUCUCCAUCCACAAGGACGAUCAGCCUGUUAUCCUGUCCACGAGUCGUGAACCACGAUACCAGAGUGCUCCGGAGCAGCGUCUGGAGACUUUUCGGAGCGCGUGGCCGCCCUUUUACACUCCUCCUCCACCCAAGACGACUGCUAGUCUUCGUCGAGAUUCCUCCAAGUUGUUCCACCACCCUCCAACAAGUGAAGAGACCGAAAAUGGGGACGCCAAACAACGCGAUCGCACAACUCGAUAUCGAUCCUGUGAUCAACGCCCCAAAGCCUUAUACAGGCUUUGAAAUUAAGCGUUAACGCUUCAACAUUUGUUUCCACGUGUUAAUCGCACGGAACUUGGAAACAGUUUAUCGAUCCGAGAAUCGAUGGUAAAUUUCCUCUCUUCGUUUCGAGCGAAAUCGGGAGAAAAGUAAAAUUGUAUAAUAUAAUCGAGUGAGUGUUUUCUUUCUUUCUUUCGUUCUCUGAUUAUAUCCUUUGUUCGUCGCGGAAAGUGGACGCUGCAAACGUGAACGAGAGACAAUGGUGUUUGGAGACCUUGUCGAGAUUGAACGAUCAAUAAUAUUAUUUCGAUUAGUAUUUAAUAUUGUCGAUCGUGUGUAGCUUGGAGAAGAUUAAAAGUGAGAUUGUAUAUGAAAAUAUUAUUGUUCGCAUUUUUCAAACGAUAUUAUCGCUGAUGUUAUUUAUAACUCUCCUUUCGCGGAAUACAAUUAAUUCGAGCCUUCCGUCUUUGAUAUCUCUUUUUUUUCUUUAAUUAAACGGAGGGUACGAGCUGCGUGGCACGGAUGAUUGGAUCAAAGGUGACCCCCAUGAGGAUAGAAAUUAUUUAAUCUUUUAAGUAGCAUUGAGUUAUCGAUGAUUCCCAAGUAAACCGGGUUGAAAAUGAUCCAAACAUCGGACUGAGAGCAAAUGUGUAAAUAUGUUUACAUUUUCUGAGCCAAAGGAAUCGAAUCCCGCAAUGACGAGGAAAAUUCCUUUGGUUGAUUGAGCGAAGAAAACAUGUUUUCUUGAAAAUGAUAAAAUUUCUUUGACGUUAUGUCACGGAAUUUCCAUCAAAUGCGUAUAUUUUCCCAUUUUAUAAAUUUUAUCCUUUAAAGAUAAUAAUAAUAAUCCUCGACGGAGAAUCGGCAAAGGGAUUCACAAACUCGUCUCUUAAUAAUGGUUAUUCCAGCUAUUAAAAAUCCGAGUUUUUUUCCAAGUGUCACAAAUUAAUUUUCCUGAUCAUUUUAUAAAUUUGAUAAAUUUAUGAUAUAUUACUCUAUUUUAUACUUUUUAAAAAGUGUAACCCCAAUAACGAUACAACUAAAAAAAAUCUCAAAACCCAGCUUUGGAAAAAUUAAACAAACAAAAAAUCACAAUCCUCGAAAAUUCACUGGUCAGAAAAUAAAUUUUCCUCUCGUUAUACGAAAGAUUGGAUAAAAAAUUGGAUAGAAAAUAUUCGCACACUUUUGCUUCUUUCUUUUUUUCUUCUUCUUCUCCUCCUACUUCUUCUUCUUUUUUCCAUUCCAUCCUGCGAUCGCGUCCAAUAGAAAAAAGGAUAAAAGGAAAAGAGCAGGCACGUGGUGGUUGCAGCAAAGCGACCAGUAGGAUCACUAGACGUGCAUGGAAAAAGGGAAGUGGAAAUUUUUUUUUUAGACAGAGAGAACGACGGAUAAAACAGUAACGAUCUUGGCAACCUGGAAGUACCUGUGAAGUUUCCAGAGAGAAACUCGAGCAAAUGAGUGGCACGUAGAUAAGCUCGAAAAGCUGUCGCACUCGAGGGCGAAAGAAAGCAACGGAAAUAAAACUGAGUGGAGGGGAAAAAAAGUUGGUGGGGAAAAAUGAGAAAAAUAACUGGUAUAACUUAGAGGAUAUAACCCUUGGCAGAAAGUAUUCGAUUCUUUAAAAUAUAUAUUUAUGUAUAUUUUUUAUAUCUUUCCAUUAUAAUCCAUUUGUAGUUCGUUUCCUCGUCGAUCGAUUUCGAUGAAAUUUUCAAACAGGAAAUAUUUAAAUAUCUUUAUUAACGAAAGUUGCAUAACAUGGCGAUAAUAAUUCUUUUUUUGUACAAAAUUUUAAAGUUCUCCAUCUUCUUUAAACGUAAUCAUAUAUUUCUUUUUUCACUGAUUGAUUCAGCUCUAUAUAAAAUUAUUAGUUUAGAAGAUAUUUUAACUUCAAAUUAGUAAAGCUUAUUUAAUGUAUAAAGGAACACAUAAAGUAUAUUUAUUAUUCGUGCUCUCCUUACAGAAGAAACAUCGUAUUUCCUUUUAUAUCACAGACUUUUGUUAAUAAAACUCAUGAAAUAUAACGAAGAUAUUUAAUCCAUUAAUUUUCCAUUUCAACGCGCCAUCUUGUAAAAUUAGCUCGAUCUUCGUUGUUUUCUUCGUCCUUUCCUCCUCCCCCUCAAAAAAAAAAAUUGAAAAGUCAUUUGGCCCAAUUUUAAAAAAAUUUAUUCUAUCUUAAAAACUGUACUACUUUUUGCCAAGAAUUGUAGAACUCGACACCGUUGAGAAAUGAAAGGUUUUCGAAAUUGGGGUGGUUCGAUCGUGAUCGAACCGUUUUACGAUGAUUCGAAUUGGACGUGGAUGAAUCAAGUAAACUUCGAACUUCAAUUGGUAUUGCAUGAAAAAUUGAUUGGAAAGCUAUUAUCAGUUUUAUGAAGUUUCGUCUGGAUGGUUUCACGAAGCGAGAAUUUCGCCCGGAUAUACAUAUAUACAUAUAUAUAUAUAUACAUAUGUAGGAGCAACGCUCAUAGAGGUUUAUGAAAACCGCCGGCAGGCACGGUGAUUCGUCAUAAUUAAUCAUAUUCCAGUCAAGCCGUGUCGUUUUAUUGCUCGUAUUUAUCGCGCGACAUCUGCCCUUUAACAGGUUUCGAAUUUCCAUUCGAAAAUGGGGAGGAAUGGCGAGCGGGUGGGUGAGGGGGAAAAAGGGGUUGCAAAAAUCAACAGGCGUGGCGCAUUUAAUUGUGCGAAUUAAUCUUUACGUUUCACCGAGCGACCCAUUCCAUUCUUCUCAUUUCCAGUUCAUUUCACUACCAGAAACACCCAACUUUCCAUUCAAACUUUACAAUACUUCAUCCUCCCUGCUUGAUGACUUUUAUAAAGUCCAUUUGUUUAUCCCAUCAAUGAAUGUUAUUCGAAUAAAACACGUUACGGAGAUAAUGAUUAUAAAUUCGUUAACAUUUUUCCAAUUAUUUCUUUAAAAGAAUCAGAAUCAUAUGAUCGAAUUUUUCGAAAAAUCAUUUUUUUAAAAAAAUGUAUCCUUUAUUUUCGAUUAGUAGAAUUUUAUCCCAAUCCAAAUUUAUUUUCUCGUAUUUGAUCUGAAAAAAGAGUGCUAUUCGUCAAUCGGGAGAGGAGAAAUCGUCGUCUCGCGAGGGACUUUUGUCUUUCCUGGCCUUUCAAUGUUUCACGAGGGAACAGAAAACAAAGCGGUUUUCAUUAUUGUGCCCACUUCCGUCUUGUAUUAUUCAAGUUGCAUCAACGUAUAAAUUAUUCCCUUCUUUAUCCCUGUCCCAAUGCUGGUAAAUAUCGUAACGUAACCCUUCGAUGCCUCUUUCGAAUUUUUAACCCCAUCGACGAAACGAAUACGUCCAUUGGACGUUUGGAAAUCAUUCUUUUUUAAACCUUGCAAAUAUCGUUUCUUAUUUAUAUUCAAAUUUGAUCAAGCUUGUCUGUUGAAUUUUUUGAAUGAAAUUCCACUGUUGUGAAUAAUCACGAAAUAGGUAAAUUAUAAGCUUCCAUCUAUCUAUCUAAUUUGAACUAUCUAAUUUUUACAAGUCGUAAUUUUCGUUUCACUUAAUUGUCAACUGGUAAAUAAAGAUAAGAAUAACGAAAAAAAGUCUCUCUCUCUCUCUCUCUUUUUAAUUUAAGAGAAAAGGAGUAAAUACCACGUGAAAGUAGUUUAUUUUGGAGGGCAGUUAUUAUUACGCUUUCUAAGUAUUUUCGAAAGUAUUGUUCCACAAUGGAAAAGAGCCAGAGCCUGUUAUCUUGAAUCAAGACGAAACAUGGAGUACAUUUCGCGAAAGACAAAUGAACCUUCUUCCCCAGCGGCCACGGGCCAAGCGCCAAACUAGAGUCCAACUCUCCUGUCCUUGAUUCCCUCUUUUCUUUAAUUCUACCACCCUCUUUUUCUUCCUCAACCGUGGCCCCCUUUCCUCCCUCCAUCUUAUCUCUGCCGUAUUUCUUUUCAUCUUUGCUUUUAGCCGCUUUUUCCCUUUAUUUUCGACCCAGUUAUCCCGUUUUAACGACCGCGUAUCUUUAAUUUGUCGUCCUAAUAUCUCCAUUUUUCUCUCAGUUUUUAACGUAAUUUCGCGCAAUAUAAUAAAAAUGUAUCCCAUAGCAUGAGAAAUCUGUUCUCUCUCUCUCUCUCUCUCUAUCUCCCUCUCUCGUUUCCUCUGGGAAAAUAAAUCUACAGUCGGAUGGUAAAUCCUGUAAAAUUGUAGAUGGUAAUCCCAUAUGUCAGGAUUACGAAUAUCCAUGAAAUUGAGAAAUGAGUUGACCGAACAUCACUUCACAAAUAUUCUUAACAGUGAAACGAUUUGUAACUGUAAUACGAUAUUUUUAAAAAAAAAAAGCUUCGCGAACUUUUUAAAAAGUAAAUCUAUCAAAAUUAUCGUGAGUUAAUUUUAAAUUAAAAUUAUUCAACUUGUUGAAAUUCGAAUCGAUAUCUGAAUAUCUUUCCCUUCUUUUUAAAAAUCGCGCGUCUAUUUGGCUGCCAUUUUGUUUUAUAAUCGUUCUUGCGUGCAAUUCAAUUAAACCGAGAGAGAACAUCGCGUACAAAAGAUCCUGUUUUUCUUUUGUCCCCUUUCAUUGAUCAGUUUUUUCUAAUACCUUUUCUCCAUAGCUUUAUUACACGAUAAUUUUUCUUUUAUCUUAUACAGUGCAAUAUAUAAUCCAUAAAAUAAAACCAAACGCAAAGGUUACGUCGAAUAACGUUCUAUCGUUCCUUUUUACAAUGGAAAGAUAAAACGAAGAAUACGUGCACAAUAUAAUAUAACGUGCUAGCGAGAAAAACUUACACAAACUUAAAAUUGUAUUUACGUUCAAUUCUCCUUCCUCCUGAAAUUUUCCAUUUCGAUCAUUCACACACCAAAUAACUCUGAACAAUACGAAAUUUUUCUCUGUCAACCGCGAUAAAAAAUAAUUAUAAAAAAUUUAUCACACGUCCAAAAAUCAUUAUAAAUUAUAAAUUAUUAUUAUUCCUCUCGUUUCGUCGCGACGAUAAACACGAAGAAGCAGGUUAAAAGACUUAACUUCUGGAUAAAAAUUGUCGAAGCGUAUUUUUCGAACACGACUCUCGAUGCUCGCGAGGAAAGAGUUUCCAAGAUUUACUCGUUUCACACAAUUCACGCGUACGUCAGGAAUAUUUAUUACAAUGGGACCGAGAUUGCUUUAUCCUGGCAGGUGGCGCGCAAGUGCAUGCAUCAUACGAACAGACACACACGCGGGUGUACAUUCGUAGGGAUCGUGUGUGUAACCGACGCACUUAAUCGUACGUAAAUACACAACGCAUCGCGUUGAUACAACCACGAGAUUGCGUGAGCGUUACUGAUCGAUCGUUCCUUUCGAUUAACAGCCUUCGACGAAUCUUUCGAGAUAAAGUUUCAGCAAAGCUGAAUUGAUAUUUCGCUUGAGAUUAGAUUAAAACUUUCGUGCGUUAUCGCUCGACAUUCGAAAUGCGAUACUCAAGUCGUGUGUCAAGUGACUUUAUGAUGUUAAUUAGAGGAGAAGCAUUAUGUAGGGUGUCUUAUUUUAAUCUAUCCGAGUAAUUAUCUUUUAAAUUAUUAAAAGAAAAAUUUCGAAACGUUGAAAGUAACACUGUUGCAAAUUCUUAAUAAUCGGAAAAUAGAAUUUUAAUAGCCAAUCGUGUAUCGCGAUUCUUUAAAUAAAUACAUGUAAUGAGAAAAUUUGAAGUAAUUACGUGAAUAAUAACCUGCUUCGAAUUUAAUUGAAAUUUCUCUAAUAAUGAUUGUCAACAGUUGCAAUAGUUAUAGAUAAAAUUGUUGUUAUCUUUUAAUAAAAUAUAUCCAUUCUAUAGAAUAUUUUUCAUUGAUACUAAAGCAACAGACGCAUUGAUUGAUUACUCAUUGAAUAAAUUUUAUUAUCGGUUAACAAUUUAUAAUUUCCUCAUUCAAACGAGUAAUGCGAAUAGAAUAAACUCGGGUUGUUAAUACUAUUGACGUGAUCAAUUACGAUAUAAAAAAAUCUCAAAAAAUCACUUUUACACAGCCAAUUUACACAGAGUACUUUUUCUUUUGUUUUCACUUUUGUAACAAGAUAGAGAAAGUUUCAUAAAAAAAAGAAUAAAGAUAGAUAUAAAACCGAUUUAACAACGAUUCUUUAGAAACGUAAUCGAUAUAGAAUCCCUUUAAUCCAACUAUUAUAAGAUCAUUAUAGUUAUAGUUCUUCCUAUUCAACUAUUCCGUUAAACUCUAUCUUUCACGAUUAUUCCCGAAAAAAGAUCAAGAACGAUUAAUUGCAAAGAAAAAAAGAAAUCAUAUUCCAGAAUUCAGAGGCUGAUGCGUAACAACAGUUUCGAAACAAUUAUUCUCGCUUAGCGUUGGAGGGGACGUUAUAACAAAAAUUUUCAACGACAGAGUCGCUCAGUUCACGAGGAAACAAGUUUCGCUCGUGGAGACCAGCUGUUGUGCUUUCUUAUAUACACCUUCCUACUUCCAAAUACCAUCCAAUAGCUCGUACUUUCUUCCUCGAAUUGGCAAGCCAGCCGAGCGCAGCUGGGUUAAGGAUCAGAAGGAUCUGAUUAAAUUGCUCCUAUAAGAUGCAUCCGCAGGUGCGACGCCGGGGCUGGAUGCUUCACCAGGGAAAUGCAUAUUCUGAAAUGGACGAUUUUUUACGGCAGCUUAGCCCCCUCGAACGAGAAAUUGCAUUUUUCAAAUUCUCCUCCAACGAGAGAGAGAGAGAGAGAGGGAGCUCGAAAAUUAAUUGGCCAACUCGUGCGGAACCAUUUGCUCGUUAAAUAAUGCGCCUCUUUGCCCGGUCGCGCGGAUAACUCGUGUCGCAAUUCCGCACGAGGGAAGGGGAGGGAAGGGACGUAAUUAUUUACCGGCCAACGAAUCAAUAUUUGCAAAUUGCGCGUCUUUCGAGUGCUCAGAAUUCUUGUCCUAAUCUCCGGUCAAAUUUUAUUCCUCGUUUUUAAUCGCUUUGCAACGAUGACGACUUUCGAUUUAGGAUUCUUUAUUUAGGAAAGUUCAUAUUCUAAUUUUUAUGUGGAAUUAUAUAUAUUUGGAGCGAGUUGAUUCCAGCCGUUGAAGUAUAAAAGUUGAUACAUAAAAACGUCGGUUGGGGUUUAUUUAUUAAGUUAUAAAUAAUUGAAGUUUAAACGAGAUGGAAAGAGAAGUGAGAAGACUGCUUUGUCUUCGUUACGCUGCCGUCACAUUCUAUUCUCGCGGCGGUUUAUCCAAUGUAAACUUAAACUGUUUGUAACUUAAUAAAUGAGUACCACAACCACUUUUGCACGCCAAGUUUUAUGGAAUCGAUUCUUCAAAGUAUGUUCCACGAAUAUAUUCACGCUAAUAUAACUGUUGUGUAUGCUGAAGAAAGUAAAUUAAUUCUUCGAAUUUUUUAAAUUUUUAAAAUCGAUGUUUGACUAGACGAGUUGAUUAAAGUUACUUUUCUUUUAACUUUUUCGAAAAAUUCGAUCGGAGAAAUCUUACUUUUGACGAGAUAAUCGAGUGUACAUAUCGAGUCGUAUAUUUAUUAUAAAAGUUUAUUGUGAUACAAGUUUAAUCAGCAGGGAAAAAUGCGAUCGUUGGAAUCACUGAUUAAUGCGAGAGAAAACAAAAAUUUUAUUAUCGAACGAUUACUUAUUCAAAAUUAAACCAAGAAUGAAUUCUACGAAACUGUGUUUUUUCAACGAAAAAUACUUGCCGGUAUAAAAUCCAAGAUAAUCUGAGAAAUUCAGAUCAUUUAAAAAUAUUCGCUCGACCUCCCCUAUAUUUAAAUGUAUAAUUUCGCAUUAUAUAUUCAAAAUGAAAUAUCGUCAGCUCGUACCCGAUCUAAAAGAAAACUUCUAUUUUGUUAACAUGUCUAUCGACAGUCCUCGAAAAGUAUACUGUGAAAGUGCAUAACGAGAGAGAGCCGGCCGAAUCGAGUAGAAUAUUUAAAAGAAACUCAUUGAUAUUUGACACGGUCAGGGUGGAUAAUCGAAUUAAUUCGGUCGGCGUUUUCGUCUCUCAGAUUUAUCCAAUUAAUUAUAUAUUCGGUAAAUUUAUAGAAACGCGGAAAAUAUCCUCGAUGGAAAAGAGAUCGACUAAAGAUUGCACUCUAGGGUGAAACGAAAUAGAGCCGCAAUUUUUCUUUUCCGAUUUUUAAAUGGACAAAAAUAAAUAAUCCUCCCCAAUAUUUAAUUUUCGAGUUUUGGUUAAGCUGGAAAAUAUUAAGAAUUUCGAUAGUUUACGAUAAAUUAUUCGUCGUUGUCGGGGAAAAAUACUCUUUUACGGAGAGUGAUUUUAAAAUAAAUUUCGAAGUAAAGUAAAAAUCUAUUGCUUAAAGAAAAUUUUUUAUUCAUAAUAACAAGAUUAAAAAAUAUGUUUGAAAAAAAGGACAAUAUUAUAAAAUUCUUAAAUAUCCUCUUCCGUUGUUAUUUUAUAUUUAUUAUCAUAUCAUAGUUAUUUUUUGAAAUUUCCAAUUUUUCGUUCCACCCUAUUGUCAAGUGUAUACAUAUACAUUAUCGUGUACACGUCCGUAUAACGGAUGUAUGCACACAUACGUAGCUCGAUAAAAACGAUAAAAUUUGAACGAAAAAGUAUUAUAAAUAUAGAUAUAUAUAUAUAUUAUAAAUAAGUUAUUAAGAUAACUAUUAUAAGUUAACUAUCCGUUGAUACAUAUCGCACUUUAAAAACCGGUAGAAAUAAAAAAAAAGAAAAAAGAAAGUGUCGACGGAAAUCGAAAAAUCGCUUCGAGAGAGAGAGAGAUCGAAAACAUUUCGUGGCAAAACGAAAAAGAAACUACGAUGGUAUGUAUUUUAUGUAAAACGAAAUCCUUAAUCCUUAAGGUCCCGAGUAGAAUGAUAAAAAUGAUACUUAAAGUUCUCUAAUAAUUUAAUUAAUUUAAUAAUUAAUUUAAUAAAAUAUUUUGAUAUCGAGCUUACAAUUAGCGUGCUCCAAUCUUAAAAAAAAUUUAUGAAAAUCUCUAUAAAAUCUACGAAAUUUACAAAAUACUAGAUUAUAGAACAAUUCGCAGGGAAGAAUUCCUUCGUUCAUAUAUUUUCGUUGCGAAAUUGAUUCAUACAUCAAGUUCCAACGAAGAAGAAUCGAAUUGAAUUACACAUCUUGAUCCAAGGUUUUUCAAUCGAAUUAAUUUGCCGGGAUUGAAACUGACUCGGGGCCCUAAGCAUUGUAUCAAUUGUACGUCCAUUGUAAUAAUAUCGCUGUUUGAAAAAUAUCGGCAAUAUCGAGAACGAGAUUAAUUGAUUAACCGAGAAAAAGAGAGAGAAAAAAACUCGAUUCCCCUCUCAACUUAGAUAGAUGAAUGUAAAAAUUUAAGCGACGAGAGAUUUGGUUCGACGCAGCUCUCGUUCCAAUCGAUCGCAAUCACUGCCACGAAUACGAAACACGACAACUCGGGGUCAUCUUUUGUAAAUUUAAUACCGGUGAAACGAAAAUCCUUUCGAUCUUCUUUCCCGCGAGCUGUUUCACGACCGAUCCAAAUCGACGGGAACUUUCAUAAAGGUUUCAACGAGAAAGAUAUUCGAAUAAAAAUCCGUUUAUUCCCCCUUUUCGAUUGUACAGAGAGAGAGAGCGCAUCGAAUAAUGAUAAAAAAUAUGAGAGAGAGAGAAGAAAUAUCGCGUGCGUGAAUUUAUGUUUAUUUAUGCGAGAAUGAGGAGAUAUAUAUAUAUAUAUGCAUGUACGAGAGAGAAAGAAAAAUCGAAUGGAUGACUUGUGAUUUGUAAAAUGGAGACAUCACGAAUCCACAUCACGAAGUCUUGCGACACAACGAACGUAUAAUAAAAAGAAGUUCUUCGUUUUCUA